ACACGUGAGUAACCUGCCCUUGACUCUGGGAUAAGCGCUGGAAACGGCGUCUAAUACCGGAUACGACCUGCCCCGGCAUCGGGUGCGGGUGGAAAGUUUUUCGGUCAAGGAUGGACUCGCGGCCUAUCAGCUUGUUGGUGAGGUAAUGGCUCACCAAGGCGACGACGGGUAGCCGGCCUGAGAGGGUGACCGGCCACACUGGGACUGAGACACGGCCCAGACUCCUACGGGAGGCAGCAGUGGGGAAUAUUGCACAAUGGGCGAAAGCCUGAUGCAGCAACGCCGCGUGAGGGAUGACGGCCUUCGGGUUGUAAACCUCUUUUAGUAGGGAAGAAGGGCCUUCGGGUUUGACGGUACCUGCAGAAAAAGCACCGGCUAACUACGUGCCAGCAGCCGCGGUAAUACGUAGGGUGCAAGCGUUGUCCGGAAUUAUUGGGCGUAAAGAGCUCGUAGGCGGUUUGUCGCGUCUGCUGUGAAAACCCGAGGCUCAACCUCGGGCCUGCAGUGGGUACGGGCAGACUAGAGUGCGGUAGGGGAGAAUGGAAUUCCUGGUGUAGCGGUGGAAUGCGCAGAUAUCAGGAGGAACACCGAUGGCGAAGGCAGUUCUCUGGGCCGUAACUGACGCUGAGGAGCGAAAGCGUGGGGAGCGAACAGGAUUAGAUACCCUGGUAGUCCACGCCGUAAACGUUGGGCGCUAGAUGUGGGGACCUUUCCACGGUUUCCGUGUCGCAGCUAACGCAUUAA
rnacentral:rRNA from 1 species